rnacentral:rRNA from 1 species
UACAGAGGGGGCAAGCGUUAUUCGGAAUUAUUGGGCGUAAAGGGCGCGUAGGCGGCCUUGCAAGUGGCGGGUGAAAUCCCUCGGCUUAACCGAGGAACUGCCUGCCAGACUGCAAGGCUCGAGACCGGGAGAGGUGAGUGGAAUUCCCAGUGUAGCGGUGAAAUGAGUAGAUAUUGGGAGGAACACCAGUGGAGAAGGCGGCUAAGUGGACCGGAACUGACGCUGAGGAGAGAAAGCGUGGGGAGCAAACAGG